UAUCUGGUUGAUCCUGCCAGUAGUCAUAUGCUUGUCUCAAAGAUUAAGCCAUGCAUGUCUAAGUACAAACCUUAAUACGGUGAAACCGCGAAUGGCUCAUUAAAUCAGCUAUGGUUCCUUAGAUCGUCUCAUCCUACUCGGAUAACUGUGGAAAAUCUAGAGCUAAUACGUGCUUACAAGCCCUGACCUCACGGGAGGGGCGCAUUUAUUAGAUCAAAACCAAUCGGGGCUUGCCCCGUCUGCUUGGUGACUCUGGAUAACUUUUGUGCUGAUCGCAUGGCCUCUGCGCUGGCGACGUAUCUUUCAAGUGUCUGCCCUAUCAACUUACGAUGGUAGGUGAUAUGCCUACCAUGGUUAUAACGGGUAACGGGGAAUCAGGGUUCGAUUCCGGAGAGGGAGCCUGAGAAACGGCUACCACAUCUAAGGAAGGCAGCAGGCGCGCAAAUUACCCACUCCCGGCACGGGGAGGUAGUGACGAAAAAUAACGAUACGGGACUCUUUUGAGGCCCCGUAAUUGGAAUGAGUACACUUUAAAUCCGUUAACAAGUAUCUAUUGGAGGGCAAGUCUGGUGCCAGCAGCCGCGGUAAUUCCAGCUCCAAUAGCGUAUAUUAAUGUUGCUGCAGUUAAAAAGCUCGUAGUUGGAUCUGAGGACUCGAAUUGGUGGUGCACCAUACGGUGUUACUGCCGAUUCGGCCUACCUAGUCGGUGCUCGCUCUUGGUGUUCUUAAUUGAAUGCCCUGAGUGCCCGGCAAGUUUACUUUGAAAAAAUUAGAGUGCUCAAAGCAGGCCAUUAGCCGGAAUACUUCAGCAUGGAAUAAUGGAAUAGGACUUCGGUUCUAUUUUGUUGGUUUUCGGAACCCGAGGUAAUGAUUAAGAGAGACAGACGGGGGCAUUCGUACUGCGGUGUUAGAGGUGAAAUUCUUGGAUCGCCGCAAGACGAACAACUGCGAAAGCAUUUG
rnacentral:ncRNA from 1 species